AUGGGGUGCAGCAGGCGCGAAACCUCCGCAAUGCGGGCAACCGCGACGGGGGGACCCCCAGUGCCGUGGCAUCGCCACGGCUUUUCCGGAGUGUAAAAAGCUCCGGGAAUAAGGGCUGGGCAAGGCCGGUGGCAGCCGCCGCGGUAAUACCGGCGGCCCGAGUGGUGGCCGCUAUUAUUGGGCCUAAAGCGUCCGUAGCCGGGCCCGUAAGUCCCUGGCGAAAUCCCACGGCUCAACCGUGGGGCUUGCUGGGGAUACUGCGGGCCUUGGGACCGGGAGAGGCCGGGGGUACCCCUGGGGUAGGGGUGAAAUCCUAUAAUCCCAGGGGGACCGCCAGUGGCGAAGGCGCCCGGCUGGAACGGGUCCGACGGUGAGGGACGAAGGCCAGGAGAGCGAACCGGAUUAGAUACCCGGGUAGUCCUGGCUGUAAAGGAUGCGGGCUAGGUGUCGGGCGAGCUUCGAGCUCGCCCGGUGCCGAAGGGAAGCCGUUAAGCCCGCCGCCUGGGGAGUACGGCCGCAAGGCUGAAACUUAAAGGAAUUGGCGGGGGAGCAC
rnacentral:rRNA from 1 species